rnacentral:lncRNA from 1 species
AUGAUACAAAUGUAUUCUACACUUACACCAUGGCUGCAACGACAGGCAUUAUUCAGCAGUGGAGUUGGCCUCUGCAUGGAAUUAUUCUCUUUAACUGAAGGCCUGACCACUGAGAAGGACAAAAUGAACAAGUUCACUGCCUCUCAAUACCUUCCUUGAGGAAGCAGAAGGAAAGGAGGUUGGAGAUUCAUUGCUGUUAAAACCUAUUUCCUCAUCUGUCUGGGGAAGGUUCCAGUCCACCUCUCCUCCCCCCCUGGACAGACCACUACCUGACAAAAUAGAAGCAAAGGGAAGGAAGGGGAUUUUCAACUCCUCCAAAAGUUUUCUGUUUGAGAGGAAAAAGUAGCUUGACUAAAGACAAUUAAGGAAGUCAUAUCUGGGGCGGCCAUAGAGGAAGAAUAAUUCUGGAUGUCACUUCUUCCAUUAAAGGUCAUUGCAUACAAAAACAUAGACAUCUUUGAGGCAGAGAACACAAAAUAGCAUUUUAUUCUUCAAGUGACAGGAAACACAAUGGUUAAGAGUCUGAUAUAAAAGUAUCUACAUAAGGAAAAUACUAAAUAAAUAAAGAAAUAAAUAAUAAGAAGCCUCUGAU